rnacentral:miRNA from 1 species
GGCAUCCUGUUAAAAUGCAGAUUCUGAUGCAGUAGGUCUGGGGCGGGGCUUGAGAUUCUGCAUUUUUAACAAGCUC